UACGGUGGGGGCAAGCGUUGUUCGGAAUUACUGGGCGUAAAGGGCGCGUAGGCGGCCUGCUAAGUCGGAUGUGAAAUCCCUCGGCUCAACCGAGGAACUGCAUCCGAUACUGGCGGGCUUGAAUCCGGGAGAGGGAUGUGGAAUUCCAGGUGUAGCGGUGAAAUGCGUAGAUAUCGGGAGGAACACCAGUGGCGAAGGCGAGUCUCUGGGCUGUAUCUGACGCUGAUGCGCGAAAGCUAGGGGAGCAAACGGG
rnacentral:rRNA from 1 species